rnacentral:rRNA from 1 species
UCUUCCCUCUGGCGGCGUGCCUAAUACAUGCAAGUCGAGCGAACGGACGAGAAGCUUGCUUUUCUGAUGUUAGCGGCGGACGGGUGAGUAACACGUGGAUAACCUACCUAUAAGACUGGGAUAACUUCGGGAAACCGGAGCUAAUACCGGAUAAUAUUUUGAACCGCAUGGUUCAAAAGUGAAAGACGGUCUUGCUGUCACUUAUAGAUGGAUCCGCGCUGCAUUAGCUAGUUGGUAAGGUAACGGCUUACCAAGGCAACGAUGCAUAGCCGACCUGAGAGGGUGAUCGGCCACACUGGAACUGAGACACGGUCCAGACUCCUACGGGAGGCAGCAGUAGGGAAUCUUCCGCAAUGGGCGAAAGCCUGACGGAGCAACGCCGCGUGAGUGAUGAAGGUCUUCGGAUCGUAAAACUCUGUUAUUAGGGAAGAACAUAUGUGUAAGUAACUGUGCACAUCUUGACGGUACCUAAUCAGAAAGCCACGGCUAACUACGUG